rnacentral:rRNA from 1 species
GACGAACGCUGGCGGCGUGCUUAACACAUGCAAGUCGAACGGAAAGGCCCUGCUUUUGUGGGGUGCUCGAGUGGCGAACGGGUGAGUAACACGUGAGUAACCUGCCCUUGACUUUGGGAUAACUUCAGGAAACUGGGGCUAAUACCGGAUAGGAGCUCCUGCUGCAUGGUGGGGGUUGGAAAGUUUCGUCGGUUGGGGAUGGACUCGCGGCUUAUCAGCUUGUUGGUGGGGUAGUGGCUUACCAAGGCUUUGACGGGUAGCCGGCCUGAGAGGGUGACCGGCAACAUUGGGACUGAGAUACGGCCCAGACUCCUACGGGAGGCAGCAGUGGGGAAUAUUGCACAAUGGGCGGAAGCCUGAUGCAGCAACGCCGCGUGCGGGAUGACGGCCUUCGGGUUGUAACCCGCUUUCGCCUGUGACGAAGCGUGAGUGACGGUAAUGGGUAAAGAAGCACCGGCUAACUACGUG